rnacentral:rRNA from 1 species
UCUCAGUUCGGACUGUAGGCUGCAACUCGCCUACACGAAGUCGGAAUCGCUAGUAAUCGCGGAUCAGCAUGCCGCGGUGAAUACGUUCCGGGCCUUGUACACACCGCCCGUCACACCAUGGGAGUUUGUAACGCCCAAAGUCGGUGGCCUAACCUUUAUGGAGGGAGCCGCCUAAGGCGGGACAGAUGACUGGGGUGAAGUCGUAACAAGGUAAC